UGAAAUUUUCAAUACGUUGGCUUUUUGGCUGGUCUCAUACCGUUUAGUACUGGAUAUGAGAUCAUUCAAGAAGCCCAAAAAAGAGUUCAUUUCA
rnacentral:pre_miRNA from 1 species